rnacentral:rRNA from 1 species
UACGUAGGGCGCAAGCGUUAUCCGGAAUUAUUGGGCGUAAAGAGCUCGUAGGUGGUUUGUCGCGUUGUUCGUGAAAACCGGGGGCUUAACCCUCGGCGUGCGGGCGAUACGGGCAGACUUGAGUACUGCAGGGGAGACUGGAAUUCCUGGUGUAGCGGUGGAAUGCGCAGAUAUCAGGAGGAACACCGGUGGCGAAGGCGGGUCUCUGGGCAGUAACUGACGCUGAGGAGCGAAAGCGUGGGGAGCGAACAGG